rnacentral:rRNA from 1 species
AUUGAACGCUGGCGGCAUGCUUUACACAUGCAAGUCGAACGGUAACAGGCCGCAAGGUGCUGACGAGUGGCGAACGGGUGAGUAAUGCAUCGGAACGUGCCCAGUCGUGGGGGAUAACGCAGCGAAAGCUGUGCUAAUACCGCAUACGAUCUGUGGAUGAAAGCGGGGGACCGUAAGGCCUCGCGCGAUUGGAGCGGCCGAUGUCAGAGUAGGUAGUUGGUGGGGUAAAGGCUCACCAAGCCAACGAUCUGUAGCUGGUCUGAGAGGACGGUCGGCCACACUGGGAAUGAGACACGGCCCAAACUCCUAAGGGAGGCAGCAGUAGGGAAUCGUGCGCAAUGGAGGAAAGCCUGACGCAGCGAGGCCGCGUGAGGGAAGAAGGCCUUCGGGUUGUAAACCUCUUUCAGGAGGGACGAAGCCACUCGGGUUAAUAGCCUAGAGGGUGACGGUACCUCCAGAAGAAGCCCCGGCUAACUACGUGCCAGCCGCCGCGGUAAGAC